AUUUUUGCCAUACUGCGGUCACACAGUACCAAAAAAAACUCGUUGCACACAACAGCAAAACACGCAACAAAAAAAUUAAAAUAUUAAUUCGAUUUAAAACAAAACGCAUUACAAUUAAAAGCAAACAAUGAGUGCCAGCCAAGUGCCUCAAUUGGCCGGAUAUGUGUAAAUCAAGUGCAGUGCAAUUAGCAAUACAAAAAUUUGUUUAAUAUAGCCUACAUACAAAUACAAAUACAAAAAAAAGAAAUAUUUUUUCCCCAGAAAAACACAAAACAAAACGAAAACUUAAUAAUAAAUCAUAAUUAAAAGCGCCUCAACAAAACAAGCAAUAAAUAAUACAACAAGAAAGCCGAGCAAAACACAAAACAAAAAAAAUGUAUAAAUAAAAUAAUAGAAUAAUAUACAUAUAUAUAUAAUUAUUGAAAACAUCGUAGCCAUUAGCUUUAACAAAAACAAAAACAACCUAACAAAACGCAUAACAUUUUAUGAGCAGCAAACUUAUAAAGCCUAUAAAAAGUACGCCUUCCAAUAGUUAUUAUACUAUUAUAUAUAUAUAUAUACAAUAUAUCGUUAUAUAUACAUGCAUACAUCAUUACAUCAUUACUUACAUGCAAAUAUUGUAGCACUUGGACAAAAUGCAAAAAUUUCGAUAAUGCGAAAAGUGCGUUAAACGAUGCAAUCAAAUCUUUAACUAAUACAUUAAUUAAUAUUAAUUCCAAAUCGUAUAUACACCAACUAUAUAUACACGCAUAUAUUUCAUAUAACAACGAACAACAACUAAAUAAUUAUAAUUAUUAUCAGCUUGCUAACAACUAUAAAGAAAAAAACAUAAAACAAAAUUCACCGCAAUUACUUUAGCAAAUUUACUUUAAACAAAAUAAGAAUAUAUAUUAAAUUAGAUAUAAAAAAUAUUAGCAAGUGCAUAUUCUAAAAUUAAACAACAACAAUUUUUCUAUGCGCCCAAAGUGCUUAAGUAACAACGACAACAACAAGAACAACAACAAAUAUCAAUUUCCCCAUAAGAACAACAACAACAACAACAAUAAUAACAUGAAAAACACACCAACAACAAUGUAAAAUAACAACAAAAUCAACCUCAAUCAACACUGUAAAUCGAGCAAUAUUACUCAUACAAAAAUUAUUAAACUUAUAAUUGUUAAAUGUUAACUAAACCAACACAGCAACAACAACAACAACAACAUCAACACCAACGCCAGCAACCUGCCAAUAAUAAAAACAAGAGGAAAAGUAACACCAAAAACAAACAACAACAACAACAACAACAACAGCAACCACAACUCAUGCGGUGCUCAAAAGCCAUCGCCAACUUUAACCUCUUCUCAACAAGAGCAGCACAAAAUCAACAACAACUAUUUCAACAACAACAGCAACAACAACAAGUGUUUAAAGCUACAGAGAGCAACGGCGUCGCCAAUCGCCAAUCGCUCUCAAUAUCUCAGGAGUUGUUGUUGUUGCACAAUUAUUAACGUUGGAUUAACCUUCCCCCCACCACCACCACCACCACCUUUCGUCACCAGCCAACCAAGGUUCUAAUGUAGGGGAAAUACCAGCAACAACAACAACAACAACAAUCGCGUCAACAGCAGCAACAGCAAACGACAACAACCACAACGUCAGCAGCAACGGGACAUGGAUAUUCAUAUGAAAAAACUAACGAAACCACGGUGAGUCAUGAACGCAAACAAAUUAACGACUUUUGCAGAAUGUGAGUGUCACAAUUCUGAUUGCAUCUCCUUCCUUUGUUAUUGUGUCUAAUGGAAAUCACGUCUAUCGAUUGUGCCGUGGGGGGAAUUACUUUUAUUUUUGGGGUACUGCAACUUUAAGUUUAACGUAAUACUAAUACAAACACAGCACACACAUUCAUACACACACACAUGCACCUACAGCACAGCAAAUAAUCAAUGCGCAACUCUCCAGCAAACAUAUGAAAGUAAACGCAGCUCAAUUUGAUAAUUUGCAAAUAGCAAACGAAAAUCUGCAAACGAACCAAGUGCUUGUCCAACUGUUUUAGAAGACGGAACGAAAACAGCGCAGUGGCAGCGCUGCGACAGAACAACGUAAUUGUUAGCGAACAUGUAGUGGCAACCGGCAACCAAGAAGCAAAAACAAGAACAACGGCAAACGCAAUUCGGUUAGAGAUCCAAGAAAACAACAACAAAGCGACGCCGCUGCACAAUUACAACAAUUACACAAGCCUAAGCGCUUUGAGUAGCCGUCAUUGCAAAGAGAGCAAAGAGCGAGAGACUGAGAGAGCGAAGAGGAGCACAAAACAGACAAACGUUUACAAACACUUUCACAGACACACUCACAAGGUUUUGCUUUCAUUUCGGUGUCACUGUGUGUGUGUGUGUGAGUGGGAUUUUGUUUAACAUAUUUUUUGAGUUACACUUUUUUUUCAUUGUUUUUUUUAACUUUGCUCG